GUGCUCACCUCAGCAGUACAGACACUAAAACUAGAAUGUUAAGAGAAGAUUAGCGUGGCCCCUGAACAAGGAUGUACACAUUCAUGAAGUGUCUCAUAUCUUU